AUACAGCGAAACUGCGAAUGGCUCAUUAUAUAAGUUAUCGUUUAUUUGAUAGUGCCUUACUACUUGGAUAACCGUGCCUAAUUCUAGAGCUAAUACAUGCUAAAAACCCCGACUUCGGAAGGGGUGUAUUUAUUAGAUACAAAACCAAUGCCCUUCGGGGCUCUUUGGUGAUUCAUGAUAACUAUACGAAUCGCACGGCCUUGCGCCGGCGAUGGUUCAUUCAAAUUUCUUCCCUAUCAACUUUCGAUGUUUGGGUAUUGGCCAAACAUGGUUGCAACGGGUAACGGAGGGUUAGGGCUCGACCCCGGAGAAGGAGCCUGAGAAACGGCUACUACAUCCAAGGAAGGCAGCAGGCGCGCAAAUUACCCAAUCCCGACUCGGGGAGGUAGUGACAAUAAAUACUGAUACAGGGCCCUUUCGGGCCUUGUAAUUGGAAUGAGUACAAUUUAAAUCCCUUAACGAGGAACAAUUGGAGGGCAAGUCUGGUGCCAGCAGCCGCGGUAAUUCCAGCUCCAAUAGCGUAUAU
rnacentral:rRNA from 1 species